rnacentral:miRNA from 1 species
UUCAGUUAUCAGUGGAGUUUGG